rnacentral:rRNA from 1 species
UAAGAUCAAAGUGCAACUGAGCAGUCAUAAGCCCAAGAUGCACCUAAGGCCGCUCUUAAGACGAUCUCAGCACCCCGCGACCAAUUAAACUCCACGAAAGCUAAGGCCCAAACUGGGAUUAGAUACCCCACUAUGCUUAGCCCUAAAUCUCGAUGCUUACCACACCAAAGCAUCCGCCCGAGAACUACGAGCACAAACGCUUAAAACUCUAAGGACUUGGCGGUGCCCCAAACCCCCCUAGAGGAGCCUGUUCUAUAAUCGAUAACCCACGAUACACCCGACCACUUCUUGCCAAGGCAGCCUACAUACCGCCGUCGCCAGCUCACCUCCCUUGAAAGUUUAACAGUGAGCACAACAGCCCAUCAGUCCGCUAACAAGACAGGUCAAGGUAUAGCCCAUGGAGUGGAAGAAAUGGGCUACAUUUUCUAACAUAGAAGACUCACGAAAGGGGAUGUGAAAUCAUUCCCGGAAGGCGGAUUUAGCAGUAAAGUAAGACAAUAAAGCUCACUUUAAACCGGCCCUGGGGCACGUACAUACCGCCCGUCACCCUCC